UAAUAAAAGAAAGGAUACUUUGCUUGUUUUAAAGGGAACUGGCCAGCACUCAUUUCACUCAUGCACAGAAGUUCAGUUUUAAUUUCAGAAAUGGGUCCUGAACCUGCCAGAAGGCAAGGAGCUUUCACUCUGUUGCAGAGCCAGCAGCAGCAGCAGCUAGGGAACAGAGAAAGCCCUACCAAUCUUGGUAAUUGAAAGGUCAUUUGUAUCCCCUCUUCUUUCACAAGUGUAUUUACAAACCACAACUACAUCUUUUUUUUAACUAUACCUAACCAAUUUAUCACUUUCAAUCUUUUUUUUUUCCCUCUCAUAAUUCAUAGAACACCCGUUAAAGAACAGUGACCCUUCUCUUCUCUUCCCUUUAUCUUUUACACUGAGCUACAAUUUGUCAAAUUACACUUGUUAACAGAGAGUCAAGCGGGCAGUAGUACAUGAUGAAGACAAGUUUAAUUAUAAGAAAAUACCCCUUCCUUUCUCCCACCACCCUUUUUCCUCCUACUGUACACAAAAAACUUGCAAACCUUAAUACCAAGUUAGAGCAAACCUUCCCGAAAGAUUAAAAAAAGGGGGAAAAAUAAGAAAACAAAAAGGAAAAAUAGCAAAAGAUGGAAACUAACACAAUUCAUGGAAUUUAAAGAACAAACAAUACCCCUCCCUCUCAAGAACACUUUAAAUGCUAAGAAGAUCAGGCGGUGGUGAUUGAGGUGUUGGUGGCUGUUGAUGGUCUUUUGGGUCUUUAGUUGUUGCAUUUGGUGAGUCUAGAGUAGUAGCUGAUUGCGGUGAGGAGUCUGUAAUUGUUGAGUCUCCUUGUUUUGAGCUUGGUGGCUUAGGAAGCUCUGUUAGAAUCUGCACAACUUCUCGCAUUGUUGGGCGUUCAAUGGCCUGUUCUUCCACACACAGCAUUGCAACAUAGAACACAUGCAUCACCUCAUGGAGCGGAACUGAUGGGAGUCUUGGGUCAAGGACCUUCAGAACUCCUUCCUUGUUCGAGUCUGUCAUUUUUCGAACCCAUUGAACUAUAUCCACACCAUCUCCAAAUUCCCCUACUGGUUUUCUGCCAGUAACAAGUUCUAAGAGAACUACACCAAAGCUGUAUACAUCACUCUUCUCAUCAACCUUGAGCGUGUAGGCAUAUUCUGGAGCUAUAUAUCCAUAAGAACCAGCAAUUGCAGACAUGCACUCCGAGGUGCCUGAGUCUUGCAAGAAUUUAGCAAGGCCAAAGUCAGCGACAUGAGCUUCGAAGUUGGAGUCAAGAAGGAUGUUAUUUGAUUUCACAUCGCGAUGAACAAUCAACGGUGAGCAAUCAUGAUGAAGAUAGCAAAGGCCCUUUGCAGCUUCAACAGCUAUUUUAUACCUUGUAUCCCAGUGCAAAUGGCCUCCUUUCUUGCCAUGAAGAACCUCACCUAAGCUCCCAUUAGGCAUGUACUCAUAGACCAGAAGAUUAGUCUCAUGGUUAGAACAGAACCCCAAUAAUCUAACAAUGUGUCUGUGCCUAAUCCUUCCUAAAGUCUGUAUCUCAGCAUUGAAUCCAUGAUCAUGAGAAGAUCCACGGCUCAUAGCCGGUAGCCUUUUAACAGCAACUUGAUCACCAUUUGGCAUAACACCCUUGUAAACAAUCCCUGCACCACCUUUCCCUAUGAUAUUAUCCUCUUUCAAGCAAUCAAGAACAUCAUCAACAGUGAAGUCCAAGCGCUGGAACGCAGUCAAUUUCCAAGCGCGAGACUCACUAGCCUUCUUCAAUGACCUUGCUUUAAUUAUUGCCGCAACUGCAAACGCAAUUGAGCAAACAAGCAAGCCAAUAACAAGCAAGAGCUUCAGAGAAGCAGAGAGCGGCCCCUUAACAUGUGCUUGGUGGGUUCCAUUUGCAUCCCCAUCUUUGCAAGGACCCAAAUAUGGACCACAAAGAUCAGGAUUACCCAAAAACGAAGUGUAAUUAAAAUAACUAAACUGACCAGUACCAGGAACCAAACCAGUAAGAUUGUUGUAAGAAAAAUCAACAGAGGUUAAGCUCUGCAUAGUGGCUAUUGAUGAAGGAAUGCUACCAACAAAAUGAUUUCUCGACAGAUUGAGGUAGUUCAGUAUCCUCAUCCCUGUGAUCUCAGUCGGAAUCGCACCCGAAAGCUCGUUUCGACUGAGAUCAACAAAUGUUAGUAGCUUGCAUUGGCUAAUCUCAGGCGCAAUGGGUCCCGAAAACUUGUUAGAACUAAAAUCCAUCUUUGAAAGUUGUUGUAAUUUUCCAAUAUCAGAAGGGAUUGGACCAGAGAACUUGUUCCCGUCAAGAAGUAGCUUUUGAACACCUGAGAACUUGCCAAUACUUGGAGGCAACGAACCGGAGAGCCGAUUGUUUGAGAGACUAAUCUGGCCAAGGUUGAGCGCUAUUUUAUCACUCACUGGAAACUCUCCGGUGAGAAGAUUAUCUUGCAGCUCAACUUGGGUCAACUCUGGUAACCCAAAAAGCCCUUUGGGAAUCGAACCAUUGAGAAAAUUCUCCCCCAUCCGUAUCCGACUUAAAGACUUGCAUUGCCCGAGCGAUUCCGGAAUCGGCCCAAACAAGAAGUUGCUGAGUGUAAUUAAGGUCUGUAACCGAUUACCGGAACACAAAUUAGGAGGAAGAUUUCCGGUAAGUUUGUUUGAAGAGAGAUCUACAAGCACAAGAUUCCCAUUUUUACCCAACCCCAGCGGAAUACUUCCGGUGAAGUUAUUCUCCCACAACUGCAAAACCUCCAACUGCGGCAAAUCGCCGAUGAACUCCGGAAUCGCUCCGUGGAGCUUGUUUCGGAAAAGAUUCAACAGCGUCAAGUUCUUGAUCUCGGCGAAUGAACUUGGAAUCUCCCCGGUAAACACAUUGUUGGACAAAUCCAUGGAUUUCAGGCUCUUCAAAGUGCCGAGCUCCUCCGUUAACGGCCCAGACAGCCCGUUCACUUGAAGGAACAGAGUGUCCAGCUUCUGCAACUUCCCUAUCUCCUUUGGUAUCUCGCCCGAUAACAUGCAAUUUGCAGCAUCAAACCGGACUAACUCAGACAAGUUCCCGAUCUCGGGCGGUAAACCGCCUUCGUAGCUAUUAUAGUAUCCAAUGUAGAGCUGCUGUAACUUGGAUAAGUUACCAAUUUCAGGCGGAAUGCUACCGACCAAUUCAUUACCAGAGAUUGCUAGAUAUUCCAGAAACUCCCAUUUUCCAUACUCAGGUGGGAUUUUCCCAGAGAAGAAGUUUCCACCAAGAUGCAAGUGACGGAGAUUGGGCAUGUCGGUGACUGGCAAGGGCAAGUCACCAGUCAUAUUGUUGUUAUACAAGUCGAGGACUUGCAGAUUUUUUAGCUGAGCGAGUUGAGGAGGGAAGGAGCCAUUGAAAACAUUGUUAGAAAGGUUAAGGGAGAGGAGGCCAGAAAUGGCGGAGAGCUGGGGUGGGAUGGGGCCAGAGAGCUGGUUGGCGGCGAGGGUGAGGUUUUGAAGGUAGCGAAGGUGGGCGAUGUCUGGGGAGAGAGUACCAGAGAGGUUAAGACUGGAGAGGUCAAGGGAAGUGACAUGACGACCAGUGAAGUCACAAGUAACACCAUGCCAAGAGCAGAGAGAGUUGGACGAGUUCCAGGAGGCAAGUGCAGAUUGGGGGUCAUCAAUGGCGGAUUUGACAGAGAGAAGGGCCUGGUAUUCAGACAUGACACGGGCAAAAGAAGCACAUAUUUGGAGGUGAAGGAUGAGGAAGAGAAGAAGGAGAAGCCUCAUUUUGCUAGGUUUCUUGAAAAAAUUCAAGGGGUUUCUGGGUAUUGAAGAAAGGAGGAGGAGGAGGAUAAGGAGCAAGAAAGGAGUGAGAGAGAGAAGUGUAGGAGAAGAGUAAGGAGAGG
rnacentral:misc_RNA from 1 species